rnacentral:rRNA from 1 species
CCUACGGGAGGCAGCAACUAGGAAUCUUGGACAAUGGGGGAAACCCUGAUCCAGCGACGCCGCGUGGAGGAUGAAGGCCGAAAGGUUGUAAACUUCUUUUACAUGGGAACAAAAUGAGUGUACCAUGCGAAUAAGCCACUGCUAACUUCGUGCCAGCAGCAGCGGUGAUACGGGGGUGGCAAGCGUUAUCCGGAAUUACUGGGCGUAAAGAGAUGCGUAGGCGUCUUAUUAAGUCUCGAGUUAAAUCUCACGGCUCAACUGUGAAAUCGCUCGGGAAACUAAUAGGAUUGAGGAAAUCAGAGGGAAGUAGAAUUCUUCGAGGAGCGGUAAAAUGCGUUGAUACGAAGAGGAAUACCAAUGGCGAAGGCAGCUUCCUGGGAUUUUCCUGACGCUAAGGCUCGAAAGCGUGGGGAGCAAAACGGAUUAGAUACCCUAGUAGU